rnacentral:lncRNA from 1 species
UUUUCUCUACUUUUAAUACGAUGAGUAAAAAGUAAAUUACAGAAGUGAGAAAAAGAACAAGACGAAAGGAAACAAAAGUUACCAAAAGAAACAAUAUGAAAGUGGAGAAUCAUGAAGCCAAGUAGAUUUUGUUUGAUUUUUGUGUCAAACUAGCAAAGCCCGAGGAUUUGUGUGGAAACCAGUUCAAAGGGGGGAAGGGAAAAAAAAGAGAAAGUGAUAGCUUUCCCUUUGAGAUUUUAGCUUGUUUUAUUGAUGUGGAUUUGAUCUUUCUAUAUGAAAAAAAAGGUACAAAAGUAGCAAUAAAGAGUCCGUGAUACCUAACUCCAAACCCUAGUGGCUUUUACAUUCAAAUCAAAUCUGAAAAUCGUGGCGUGAUUUUCAGAGGCAUGGCGCGAUUUUGCUGGCAGAAUGGAUAGUUUCUGCUGAAGGAAAUCAUGGCGCGAUUUUGUGCGGGCGUGGCGCGAUUUGUGGAUAAGGUUGUCAUUUUUGAAGAAGGAGGAGAGAGAACUUCAAGAGAGGAAAACUUGGGAAAUCAAAGGAGGUAACUU